AGAGUUUGAUCAUGGCUCAGAUUGAACGCUGGCGGAAUGCUUUACACAUGCAAGUCGAACGGCAGCACGGGAGCUUGCUCCUGGUGGCGAGUGGCGAACGGGUGAGUAACAUAUCGGAACGUACCCCGUCGUGGGGGAUAACUCUCCGAAAGGAGUGCUAAUACCGCAUACGACCUGAGGGUGAAAGCGGGGGACCUGCAAGGGCCUCGCGCGAUGGGAGCGGCCGAUAUCGGAUUAGCUAGUUGGUGAGGUAAAGGCUCACCAAGGCGACGAUCCGUAGCGGGUCUGAGAGGACGACCCGCCACACUGGAACUGAGACACGGUCCAGACUCCUACGGGAGGCAGCAGUGGGGAAUUUUGGACAAUGGGGGAAACCCUGAUCCAGCCAUUCCGCGUGAGUGAAGAAGGCCUUCGGGUUGUAAAGCUCUUUCAGCAGGAACGAAACGGUAGGCUUUAAUACAGUCUGCUAAUGACGGUACCUGCAGAAGAAGCACCGGCUAACUACGUGCCAGCAGCCGCGGUAAUACGUAGGGUGCGAGCGUUAAUCGGAAUUACUGGGCGUAAAGCGUGCGCAGGUGGCGGCAUAAGACAGAUGUGAAAUCCCCGGGCUCAACCUGGGAACUGCGUUUGUGACUGUGCUGCUAGAGUGUAGCAGAGGGGGGUGGAAUUCCACGUGUAGCAGUGAAAUGCGUAGAGAUGCGGAGGAACACCGAUGGCGAAGGCAGCCCCCUGGGUUAACACUGACGCUCAUGCACGAAAGCGUGGGGAGCAAACAGGAUUAGAUACCCUGGUAGUCCACGCCCUAAACGAUGCCAACUAGGUGUUGGGGGAGGAGACUUCCUUAGUACCGUAGCUAACGCGUGAAGUUGGCCGCCUGGGGAGUACGGUCGCAAGAUUAAAACUCAAAGGAAUUGACGGGGACCCGCACAAGCGGUGGAUGAUGUGGAUUAAUUCGAUGCAACGCGAAAAACCUUACCUACCCUUGACAUGUCCGGAAUCCUGGAGAGAUUUGGGAGUGCUCGCAAGAGAGCCGGAACACAGGUGCUGCAUGGCUGUCGUCAGCUCGUGUCGUGAGAUGUUGGGUUAAGUCCCGCAACGAGCGCAACCCUUAUCAUUAGUUGCCAUCAUUCAGUUGGGCACUCUAAUGAGACUGCCGGUGACAAACCGGAGGAAGGUGGGGAUGACGUCAAGUCCUCAUGGCCCUUAUGGGUAGGGCAUUCACACGUCAUACAAUGGUCGGUACAGAGGGUUGCCAACCCGCGAGGGGGAGCCAAUCUCACAAAGCCGAUCGUAGUCCGGAUCGCAGUCUGCAACUCGACUGCGUGAAGUCGGAAUCGCUAGUAAUCGUGGAUCAGCAUGCCACGGUGAAUACGUUCCCGGGUCUUGUACACACCGCCCGUCACACCAUGGGAGUGGGUUCCACCAGAAGUAGGUAGUCUAACCGCAAGGAGGGCGCUUACCACGGUGGGGUUCAUGACUGGGGUGAAGUCGUAACAAGGUAGCC
rnacentral:rRNA from 1 species